UAGUUCUCUUUGUUAUUUCCAUGUUCAUUUUAAAAAAUGGACACAUACCACGCUGUACCUUGGUCCUCACCUUGUUCCACCAACGACGACCAUUACACAUUCAAUGCUGUGGGCAACAACAAUUUCAUCCUCUUUGGACCAGACAGCGUCAGACCGCAUCAGGCCUACACACAGCGAUGCAGAGGGGCGCUGUGUCGCACGCUCGGCUGCUUUCUCCGGAUCGGAUGGUGACAGGUGUCACAGCAUGCUCAGAAAGCCAGGGAAGACCAGUCUACGGAGCUCAGGAUCAGAUAGCGACAGCGGUCUCAGCAGGGUCAGGCAACCUGGGAAGAACAGACUGUGACGGCGCUGAGGUGACCUUUUGCAGAUACAACGCUUUAUUCUUUCUAUUUAGUAAACACUGGACAAGCCAGAAGCUUCAAAGAUUAAAACUAUAUUUAACGACAGUCUAACAAGCCUCUAAAGUUGAUUUCCAAACUGUAUCCAGGGUUGAUAUAGACUUUUCUGAAGACACAAAACAUGUUAAACAAACAUUUCAGGAAGACCUGGGAGACACUAUUGAUGAUGAUUAAUGGAUACAAAUAUGUUUGAAUGCCCAGUCAUGUUCAUAUACUCUCAGACAUAAAUGACUGCAGUUUAAGACCAUUGUUAGGUUCUUAUUUUUCAGAGUAAAUAAAUCACGGACACUAAAGAAGCGUUAACCAAGUUUAACCAUUCCAAAAUGUUCUGUACAGCUGUAAUUCAGACAGCUAAACAUUUCUACCAUCACAGAUAUAUAUCCCACUUAAGACACUCCUCUUUCUCUCCAAUCCUUACAUCUUAUGGUUCCACAGGAAGAGCGUAGUAAACCUUUAUUACUCCCUUCAGGGGAUCUGACCUCACCUCCUGACCUCAACCCCUCCUUCGCCUAGUCCACAGAUGUCCGUCUGUCUCCCCUAUAGCAAUCCUUUGAUCUCCUCCCAUCCACCCAGCACAUUCCACAGCCACUCUGUCUUUCUACAGAUCUCACUCCUUAACCUCUAGC